GAUGAACGCUGGCGGCGUGCCUAAUACAUGCAGGUCGAGCGGCAGCGGGCUCACAAUUUGCUUCUUGCACCUUUCGUGGAAACACGGAGAGUGAGAGAAGGAGCAAAAUGUGAGCGCCGGCGAGCGGCGGACGGCUGAGUAACGCGUAGGAAUGUACCCCAGAGUGAGGGAUAAGCACCGGAAACGGUGUCUAAUACCGC
rnacentral:rRNA from 1 species